CUCCUGCAAAUGCUCCCCUGCGCCUUGGCCUUCCCGGCCUGACUCCCUUGUUGUCCUCCUCUCACUCCGGCCGCUGCCUUUCAACCUCAGAAGCCUCCUGCGGGCCGGGUCCUGAGCCAGUUCCCAAGACGCCCUGACCUUUCCCAAGGCUUCACAGCCCGCCCCCGCCCUGACCCUGGCCCCCGCAGCGCCCCAUCUGUGUCUCCCCUGCAUCCCACUGCCUGCUCCACGUCCCCACUUUACAGGCACCUCGCUCCCUCCUCAAACUGCUCCUCUUACAGUCUCCACUUUCUUAGAACAUGGCACGAAACUCUAAGGUGCUUAGGCCAAAACCCUUGGGGGUGUUCUUGAUUCCUCUCUGCCUCAACCCCACAGCAGUUCAUCGAGUCCAGUUCAUUCUGCUCUCAGGUAUCUCCACUCCACCCACAAGCCCAAGGCCCAUCUUUUCUCACACCCAAACUUGACCCUCUUCGGUCUUCUAAAGGAAAUUAAAUGAUUUCCUAGCUCCAGCCUCAAACCCUCCGUGACUUCUCAUUGCUCCUAAAAUCCACACUCCCUACCUGGCCCAGCAAGUUCUGUGUGGCCCGGUCCCUUGCUCUCCCACUUCCUCUCUCACCACCUCCCCUUCACUCUCCAUCUCCAGCCACAAGGCCUUUUUGUGUUACAGGUGGACCUCAUCUUAGUGCACUUGACUUCAUUGUGCUUCACAGGUGUUGUGAUUUUUUACAAACCGAAGGCAAGACCCUCGGCCAUUCUCUAGAUUCGCCCCUGCAAUCUAGCUGCCCCUGUCACAGAGAACUGCCCAAACCAAAGACAUCUGAGAUCACAGUGGAGCCGGACAACCAGAGAUUGAGCCAAGCAGGAUUAUUUACCACAUUUCAGAGCCCCUAAUGAAGCUGAGUAUUCAGCCUGACGUCCAGUGCCUGGUGCUAGGAGGCUUCAGCCACCUGAGGAGGCGGCAAGCUGCUGAGAUGGACUGCCACCUAGCGACAAGCCUUUAAAGUGGGAGGGAGGGAACUGAAGUUGACCUAAUGCCGGACCCAGUGCAGCAGUGCUUGCACACGUGUCUCACCUGAUCCUCAUAAUUACCUUUUAAUCAGGGAUUAUUGUCCCCAGUUUAAUGAUGAGGAAACUGAGACUCGGAGUUCUGUAACUUGCCCCAAGGCCACACAACUAACAAGAGGUGAUUUGAACCCAA